GUUUGUUUCUUUGAAGAGCGCAGUUGACAUGCAGUGGAAGUAUUAUUGCUGAGUUCAACCGGAUCACAAGCAAAAACCUCAAGCAAGAAUUCUUCUCAGCCCUUGAUAAUCAUACUUCUCGUUUUCUGGAAAUUUUCGAAUCAAAGAAAGGCAUGGAAAAAAUGGAAAAAAGCUCUUGGAGCUUCUAAUGCAAAUGAAGUCUGCAAACAUCACUGAUGUCACUGCUCGACGGACAGCAGUUCUCCGUGGUCUUGCUGUCCUUCUUGGGGAAGACACUACAGACUUCUUCAAAACAUGCUUUGUAAGUAUUCUUCUAAUUUAAUAUCUGUAAAAAGUGCUACAAGAAAGAUGUCCCAAUUUCUGUGUCAGCGCUACGUUUACUUAAGAGAUCUUAUAUAAAGUACAUAGAAGACAUAACAUUUGAUCAAAUAAAUCUUAAAAUGUGGAUGAAACGGUUUUCUAACUAUAAAAAUCUCAUAUAGAAUAGUGUCUUGAAUUUUUCCAAUUCAAUUUCAAUCCAUCUACUCAGCACAAAGAGGUCUUUAUAUAUAGCCAUUCCUUACCUAUGUCCCGUGACAGUUUUAGCAGCAUCCCUUCUCCACCCUAUCGCCUCACUCUCUGCUGGUAUAGACAGUUUCAGCAGUAACAAAAACAAACGCCUUUCGAUGACCAAUAAUUAGCGUUAAAUAAGUUAAACAUUAAAAGAAUAGGGAAAGGAUCUAAUUUUGUUACAAACCUGUAUAAAUUUCUUUCUGAUGAACACGAAGGAAG